AUACGGAGGGUGCAAGCGUUAUUCGGAAUCACUGGGCGUAAAGGACGCGUAGGCGGGUUGGCAAGUCAGAUGUGAAAUCCUACAGCUUAACUGUAGAACUGCAUUUGAAACUGCUAACCUAGAGUAUGGGAGGGGGAGAUGGAAUUAGUGGUGUAGGGGUAAAAUCCGUAGAUAUCACUAGGAAUACCGAAAGCGAAGGCGAUCUCCUGGGACAUAACUGACGCUAAGGCGUGAAAGCGUGGGGAGCAAACAGGAUUAGAAACCCUAGUAGUCC
rnacentral:rRNA from 1 species